rnacentral:misc_RNA from 1 species
ACGGGCAACUCAAGUGACACGGUUCGUUUUGGCCUCAUUGAAAACUUGGGAAUUGGAAGGGAACUAGGCGGCGGCGAAUUUGAGUAAGCAGGUCCAGCCCAGAGCUCGGAAAAUGGUGAAUUAUCGUUUGAGAUACCCAGCUCAUCAUAAGUCGUCUCCCUCGUAGGGAUAACUAUCGGAAUUGGAGAGCUUUUUGGAGCGGUCUUAUAUUCUGUAUUGUCAACAGGAUGAGAAUUCGAGGGGGGCUUGAUAGAUUGUGAUGGUGUUUUCUGAGAGGAGGAAGUAGGUGCAGAAAGAGUGACUUUGUUCACAGGAGCUGUGCAAGUAUCG